UUAUUUUUGUAGUUUUUAUUUAUUUGGAGGGAUCUGUAAACCCUGACACCCUACCAAAUUUAUUGAUUUUGUAACUAAUUUACUAGAAACUGCGAAUUUUUUGCCUGAUUAUUACAUAUACAAGUUGUUGUAACCCCUAGGUGUGAAAUAUACACCUGUGUGCGUUAGUUAUCGCUUGUGAUUAAUAAUAAAUAAUAAUAAUAAAUAAUCUCUUUAUUUUAGGAAAAUAUACAACAUAAUACUUGCCUAAGACUAGACACACAAUUACUUUUAAAAAGUUGUGCGGGUGUCUAUAAUUCAUCAAUUAAUAAAUAUACAUAUAAGCAGAAAAUGCUUUUUAUUUGUCGUUAGUCGGAACAAUAGAAAAUGAGAAAAGAACAAGCAAUUCUACGUACAUACCUAUUGUGAUAAAAUAUUAUAAAUAAUCUAUAUUACUGUCAGAAGUAUAUCUUUUUGAAGGUUUAGUAGCCAUGAAUUAACUUUCCGUUUAAUUUUAGAGAAUGGUUUAUUUCUUAGUUCCUGAGGCAAUUGAUUGUAUAUUUUGGGAGCUAAGAAGACUAUACUUUUCUGAACUGCGGUAUAAUGCACUGGAGUUGAUAAGAUCAUUGAUUUACUUUGUGCAAAUCUAGUUGCAAUUGAGUGGGUUGAUGUAUUAAUGUUAAUUUUCUGGUUACUAAGGAGUCUAACUAUUGAUUUUAAAUAUAAUUUAGUAAUGGUCAGUAAUUUAGAUUUCUGAAAUAGUAACUCGGUAUGAUGCAUUAUAUUUUUUAAAAGAGAUAUCUUUAUAAUUUUUUUUUGGGUAAUUUCAAGAGGAUUCAAGAAAGUUUUACUGGCGGCUCCCCAGAUACAAAUUCCAUAGUUAAUAAUUGAUUCUACUAAACCUUUGUAAAUAUUUAGUAUUGUUUUACGUGACAAACAUUGUCUUAAUAUAUAGAAUUUAUACAUAAGUUUUCUUAUUUUACCACAGAUAUAUUGCACAUGUAUCUUCCAUUUUAGAUGCCUAUCAAAGUAUACACCCAAAUAUUUAAUUUCGUCCACUGCACUAAUCCGCACACAAUUACAAGUUUUCAUAUUCCUACAAUCAUUGUCGUGAAUUUUAAUAGUCUCAAGGUCAUAAGGUAAUCCUGCUUUUGUCAUGGAGUGACACAUGAAAUGAGUCUUGUCAAUAUUAAGAGAUAAUAAACUAAAAUCCAGCCAUUUUUUAACCUCAACAAGAGCUUGCUCGGCCUUUUGAAACACUUCAUCCCACGUGCCACCCCCAACCAUGAGAGCUGUAUCAUCAGCGUAACAGACAACUUGCACACUUGUUAUUACCGAAAAUAUACUAUCCAUAUAGAGAGUGAACAAUAUUGGACCAAGGACCGUGCCCUGUGGCACACCACACCUCACUGGAAUUUUACUACUGUGAAUCUCGCCUAUCUUAACUUGCUGCUUCUAAGCGUUCCAUCAAGAUGUGGUGCGGCACAGUAUCAAAGGCCUUAGCCAGGUCCAGGAAGAUUGUCAUACAUUUUGUAUUGGUGUUAAAAGCAUUUAUUAUGUCGUCAGCUACCCUGACUAAAGCAUCCUCAGUUCCCAUUCCCGUCUUAAAACCAUAUUGAUUUGCAUUAAGGUAAACUCCAGACCCAAAGAUAGUAUUUACCAGAUGUAAAAGAGGCACUAUCAAGUAUCUGUUAUAAUUCUUAAUAAAAUUAUUAGAUAUGCCAUCA